GUGAGGAAUUUUCCGCAAUGGGCGAAAGCCUGACGGAGCAAUGCCGCGUGAAGGAUGAAGGCCUAUGGGUUGUAAACUUCUUUUCUCAGAAAAGAAUUAUGACGGUAUCUGAGGAAUAAGCAUCGGCUAACUCUGUGCCAGCAGCCGCGGUAAGACAGAGGAUGCAAGCGUUAUCCGGAAUGAUUGGGCGUAAAGCGUCUGUAGGUUGUUUAAAAAGUAUUCUGUCAAAGAUUAGGGCUUAACCCUAGAUAGGCAGAAUAAACUUUUAAGCUAGAGUUUGGUAGAGGCAGAGGGAAUUCCCGGUGGAGCGGUGAAAUGCGUAGAUAUCGGGAGGAACACCAAAGGCGAAGGCACUCUGCUGGGCCAAUACUAACACUGAGAGACGAAAGCGAGGGGAGCAAUUGGGAUUAGAUACCCGGGUAGUCC
rnacentral:rRNA from 1 species